UGACGCUCAUGGACGAAAGCCAGGGGAGCGAAAGGGAUUAGAUACCCCUGUAGUCCUGGCCGUAAACGAUGAACACUAGGUGUCGGGGGAAUCGACCCCCUCGGUGUCGUAGCCAACGCGUUAAGUGUUCCGCCUGGGGAGUACGCACGCAAGUGUGAAACUCAAAGGAAUUGACGGGGGCCCGCACAAGCGGUGGAGCAUGUGGUUCAAUUCGACGCAACGCGAAGAACCUUACCGGGGUUUGAACCGCACGGGACAGCUGUAGAGAUACAGUCUUCCUUCGGGACCCGUGUAGAGGUGCUGCAUGGCUGUCGUCAGCUCGUGUCGUGAGAUGUUGGGUUAAGUCCCGCAACGAGCGCAACCCUUGCCUCCUGUUGCUAACAGGUAAUGCUGAGCACUCUGGAGGAACUGCCGGCGAUAAGCCGGAGGAAGGUGGGGAUGACGUCAAGUCCUCAUGGCCUUUAUGCCCCGGGCUACACACGUGCUACAAUGGCUAGUACAAAGGGUCGCAAAGCCGCGAGGUGGAGCUAAUCCCAGAAAGCCAGUCCCAGUUCGGAUUGCAGUCUGCAACUCGACUGCAUGAAGUUGGAAUCGCUAGUAAUCGCGGAUCAGCACGCCGCGGUGAAUACGUUCCCGGGCCUUGUACACACCGCCCGUCACAUCACGAAAGCCGGCUGUACUAGAAGUCGCCGAGCCAACCCGUAAGGGGGGCAAGCGCCCACGAUAUGGUCGGUGAUUGGGGUGAAGUCGUAACAAGGUAGCCGUA
rnacentral:rRNA from 1 species